CCUUAUCGAGAUCUCAGGCUUCUUCAUAAGCUCCCACACGAAUUGCUUGAUUCACUGGUUAGACGAUUGGGUCUGUAGCUCAGUUGGUUAGAGCGCACCCCUGAUAAGGGUGAGGUCGGCAGUUCGAAUCUGCCCAGACCCACCAAUUGUUGGUGUGCUGCGUGAUCCGAUACGGGGCCAUAGCUCAGCUGGGAGAGCGCCUGCUUUGCACGCAGGAGGUCAGGAGUUCGAUCCUCCUUGGCUCCACCAUCUAAAACAAUCGUCGAAAGCUCAGAAAUGAAUGUUCGUGAAUGAACAUUGACUUCUGGUCUUUGCACCAGAACUGUUCUUUAAAAAUUCGGGUAUGUGAUAGAAGUAAGACUGAAUGAUCUCUUUCACUGGUGAUCAUUCAAGUCAAGGUAAAAUUUGCGAGUUCAAGCGCGAAUUUUCGGCGAAUGUCGUCUUCACAGUAUAACCAGAUUGCUUG
rnacentral:tRNA from 1 species